AUUGAACGCUGGCGGCAUGCUUUACACAUGCAAGUCGAACGGUAGACCCUUUCGGGGGUUGAGAGUGGCGAACGGGUGAGUAAUGCAUCGGAACGUGCCCAGUCGUGGGGGAUAACGCAGCGAAAGUUGUGCUAAUACCGCAUACGACCUGAGGGUGAAAGCGGGGGACCGGUAACGGCCUCGCGCGAUUGGAGCGGCCGAUGUCUGAUUAGCUAGUUGGUGAGGUAAAGGCUCACCAAGGCGACGAUCAGUAGCGGGUCUGAGAGGAUGAUCCGCCACACUGGGACUGAGACACAGCCCAGACUCCUACGGGAGGCAGCAGUGGGGAAUUUUGGACAAUGGGCGCAAGCCUGAUCCAGCCAUGCCGCGUGCGGGAAGAAGGCCUUCGGGUUGUAAACCGCUUUCGGACAGAAAGAAAUCGUGUGGGUUAAUAGCCUGCAUGGAUGACGGUACUGUAAGAAGAAGCACCGGCUAACUACGUG
rnacentral:rRNA from 1 species